AUUUAGAGGAAGGAGAAGUCGUAACAAGGUUUCCGUAGGUGAACCUGCGGAAGGAUCAUUGUCGAUGCCUCGCGAGCAGUGCGACCCGUGAAUUUGUUUCUACUACUACCCAGGGGCGGCUCGCGGCGCUCAGACGCCUCGGCCCCUCGCGUCGGGAGGCGCCCCCGCCUGGCGCGGCCUCCUCCCGGCCGAACAAUAAAAACCCCGGCGCCGAACGCGCCAAGGAACCCCGAAAUCGUUCGGUGCGCCCCCCGUCGACCCGGAGACGGUGCUCGUGGGGGUGGCGCUGCGACGCGCGAAGAUGCAAAAUGACUCUCGGCAACGGAUAUCUCGGCUCUUGCAUCGAUGAAGAACGUAGCGAAAUGCGAUACUUGGUGUGAAUUGCAGAAUCCCGUGAACCAUCGAGUCUUUGAACGCAAGUUGCGCCCGAAGCCAUUAGGCUGAGGGCACGCCUGCCUGGGUGUCGCACAUCGUUGCCCCAUCGCCGGAGCCUCGUGCUAGGCGCCGAGCGGGGGCGAGCGUUGGCUUCCCGUGAGCAUCGGCUCGCGGUUGGUUGAAAAUCGGGUCCGCGGCGGAGUGCGCCGCGACGGAGGGUGGUUGAGUAACAGCUCGAGACCGGCCGCGCGCGUCUCUCCGCCUGCUCCGGGACUCUGUGACCCACGAGCGUCGAUCGAUCGCCCAUGACGGGACCUCAGGUCAGGCGGGGCUACCCGCUGAGUUUA
rnacentral:rRNA from 1 species